GAGUUUGAUCCUGGCUCAGAACGAACGCUGGCGGCAUGCCUAACACAUGCAAGUCGAACGCCCCGCAAGGGGAGUGGCGAACGGGUGAGUAACGCGUGGGAACCUACCCAGCAGUUGGGAUAACCGCGGGAAACUGCGGCUAAUACCGAAUACGUCCUACGGGAGAAAGAUUUAUCGCUGUUGGAGGGGCCCGCGUCGGAUUAGCUAGUUGGUGAGGUAACGGCUCACCAAGGCUGCGAUCCGUAGCUGGUCUGAGAGGAUGAUCAGCC
rnacentral:rRNA from 1 species